GUACACUCCUGCGGGAGGCAGCAGUAGGGAAUCUUCGGCAAUGGGGGCAACCCUGACCGAGCAACGCCGCGUGAGUGAAGAAGGUUUUCGGAUCGUAAAGCUCUGUUGUAAGUCAAGAACGAGUGUGAGAGUGGAAAGUUCACACUGUGACGGUAGCUUACCAGAAAGGGACGGCUAACUACGUGCCAGCAGCCGCGGUAAUACGUAGGUCCCGAGCGUUGUCCGGAUUUAUUGGGCGUAAAGCGAGCGCAGGCGGUUUGAUAAGUCUGAAGUUAAAGGCUGUGGCUCAACCAUAGUUCGCUUUGGAAACUGUCAAACUUGAGUGCAGAAGGGGAGAGUGGAAUUCCAUGUGUAGUGGUGAAAUGCGUAGAUAUAUGGAGGAACACCGGUGGCGAAAGCGGCUCUCUGGUCUGUAACUGACGCUGAGGCUCGAAAGCGUGGGGAGCGAACAGGAUUAGAAACCCUUGUAGUCCCAUG
rnacentral:rRNA from 1 species